rnacentral:rRNA from 1 species
UGGGGAAUAUUGCGCAAUGGGGGGAACCCUGACGCAGCCAUGCCGCGUGAAUGAAGAAGGCCUUCGGGUUGUAAAGUUCUUUCGGUAUUGAGGAAGGUUGAUGUGUUAAUAGCACAUCAAAUUGACGUUAAAUACAGAAGAAGCACCGGCUAACUCCGUGCCAGCAGCCGCGGUAAUACGGAGGGUGCGAGCGUUAAUCGGAAUAACUGGGCGUAAAGGGCACGCAGGCGGUUAUUUAAGUGAGGUGUGAAAGCCCUGGGCUUAACCUAGGAAUUGCAUUUCAGACUGGGUAACUAGAGUACUUUAGGGAGGGGUAGAAUUCCACGUGUAGCGGUGAAAUGCGUAGAGAUGUGGAGGAAUACCGAAGGCGAAGGCAGCCCCUUGGGAAUGUACUGACGCUCAUGUGCGAAAGCGUGGGGAGCAAACAGGAUUAGAUACCCUGGUAGUCCACGCUGUAAACGCUGUCGAUUUGGGGGUUGGGGUUUAACUCUGGCGCCCGUAGCUAACGUGAUAAAUCGACUGCCUGGGGAGUACGGCCGCAAGGUUA